GAUGAACGCUGGCGGCGUGCCUAAUACAUGCAAGUCGAACGGAGAACUUUUGUAGCAAUACGAAGGUUUCUUAGUGGCGAACGGGUGAGUAACGCGUUGGUGACCUGCCCCAAAGUGUGGGAUAACAGUCCGAAAGGAUUGCUAAUACCGCAUGUGGCCAUCGGGUUUAGAAACCGAUGUCUAAAGCCGCAAGGCGCUUUGGGAGGGACCUGCGGCCCAUCAGCUAGUUGGCGAGGUAACGGCUCACCAAGGCUACGACGGGUAGGGGGCCUGAGAGGGUGGCCCCCCACAAUGGAACUGAAACACGGUCCAUACACCUACGGGUGGCAGCAGUAGGGAAUAUUGCACAAUGGGCGAAAGCCUGAUGCAGCAACGCCGCGUGAGCGAUGAAGGCCUUCGGGUCGUAAAGCUCUUUUCUGGGAGAUGAGAAAGGACAGUACCCCAGGAAUAAGUCUCGGCUAACUACGUGCCAGCCGCCGCAGUAAGAC
rnacentral:rRNA from 1 species